UUUUAAAAUAUGUAUUUUUCAUGUUUUGUCGUAAUUUUUCAAUGGAACAUUCCGGCGGGCACAAGCAAAAAUGGAAAAGUCCAUUGUGACCAAAUGAAGGGGGAUUAAUAUGUUCAGAAGACUUGCUUAAGAUAAACUAGUAGAGCCAACACGUUAUAUGCUGUUUUAUAACUUAUUUAUUUUCAUAAUGAUGGCAUAAGGAAGUGUAACAUAAAAAAAUUAAUUCUAUUUAUUGCAUUUUUGGGAUACCCUUUGAGUAUUUUCAUAUUGUGACCGACCCAGCGCCAUCUUGUCACAUUUGCGACGUACAUCUGAUGAUCCAGAACAUGACGAGGACGAACAGGAAAAACAAUUAGGAAUAUAAUAUUCGGCGGACAAGAUAAAAGGAGUUUCAGGCCAAACGAGCUUACAUUGAUUGUGGAGCCAUAAGAGGAGAUACCAGAGCUUCAUCCAUCGUGGAUGUUUAUCCAGAGAACUGCAUCAUGUGCCUAGAGAAAUGCAUAGAGUCCUUGCUCACUAUGAAUUCAUUGAGGAAGUCAGAAUGUGAUGGGAGGAUUGCUGCGCCAGGGUCAUUUUACAGAGUAUGAAAGAAGGCAAUAAAGCCACCAAUCAACAGGGAUAAAAUGGAAGCCAACUUUGCUCUGGUGAAGGCCCUUCCCAUUCUCUUUCCCCCAGUGGCACCUCCAUCAAAGAAACUGGGGUGUGCUAGUGAAGCUUUACUGCAUGUUCAGGAGUCAACAGAAGAUCCAAACGUCUUCAUCCAGAAAAGAGGCCUGUCAAGUCCAGUCUUGAUGUUCGAUGGCAGCAGAUGAAUGGUUGCUAUUGGUUUGAUGCCAGUGACAUUUGAAAAAGAAAAGCUUCACGAGGGUCUGAUUUUCUAAAUGGCAUAUUAUUACACACUACACCUGACCUACACAAAUUGCGUGGCCACCCUUCUGUCAUUCAGACAGAUCCUUCAGGAUCCUAUUCACAAGUGGGACAUCACCACCACAUGAAAGAGCAUUAAAGUAAAGAAUUUGUUGGAAGAUGAACUGCUUUUGAAGUUCAAUGUUUAUGUCUGUUCUUUAGAUGAGUAUUCUAAUUGUGUUGUUAAAGAAAUAGUUGUAUUCCUAGUGCCUUUGGGUAAAUUUGUAUCACAAAUCUCAGUUUGUAAGUUGAAUAAAAGAAUCGAAAAGUGAA